UAACCUGCCCAAGAGAUCGGGAUAACACCUGGAAACAGAUGCUAAUACCUGAUAACAACAGAUGAUGCCUAUCAACUGUUUAAAAGAUGGUUCUGCUAUCACUCUUGGAUGGACCUGCGGUGCAUUAGCUAGUUGGUAGGGUAACGGCCUACCAAGGCGAUGAUGCAUAGCCGAGUUGAGAGACUGAUCGGCCACAUUGGGACUGAGACACGGCCCAAACUCCUACGGGAGGCAGCAGGG
rnacentral:rRNA from 1 species